rnacentral:sRNA from 1 species
GGAGGCUCGGGUUCGAUUCCCGGUACGG